rnacentral:rRNA from 1 species
GACGAACGUUGGCGGCGUGCUUAAUACAUGCAAGUCAACUGUAGCAGUGGUAGCAAUAUCGCUGUGGAGGUGGCGCACGGGUGAGUAACACGUAGGUAAUCUGCCUUCAGGUCUGGCAUAACUCCGGGAAACCGGGGCUAAUAGCAGAUGAUGCAGCGGCUCGACAUCGAGACAGUUGUUAAAGCUAUGGCGCCUGAAGAUGAGCCUGCGUCUGAUUAGCUAGUUGGCGGGGUAACGGCCCACCAAGGCAACGAUCAGUAGCUGGUCUGAGAGGAUGAUCAGCCACACUGGAACUGAGACACGGUCCAGACUCCUACGGGAGGCAGCAGUAAGGAAUAUUGCUCAAUGGGAGAAAUCCUGAAGCAGCAACGCCGCGUGAGGGACGAAGGGCUUUUGCUUGUAAACCUCUGUAGUGAGAGAAAAAAAUCCCAAUCUUUGGGACAUGAUGGUAUCUCAAAAGUAAGCCCCGGCUAACUACGUG